AACGAACGCUGGCGGCAGGCUUAACACAUGCAAGUCGAACGCCCCGCAAGGGGAGUGGCAGACGGGUGAGUAACGCGUGGGAACAUACCCUUUCCUGCGGAAUAGCUCUGGGAAACUGGAAUUAAUACCGCAUACGCCCUACGGGGGAAAGAUUUAUCGGGGAAGGAUUGGCCCGCGUUGGAUUAGCUAGUUGGUGGGGUAAAGGCCUACCAGGGCGACGAUCCAUAGCUGGUCUGAGAGGAUGAUCAGCCACAUUGGGACUGAGACACGGCCCAAACUCCUACGGGAGGCAGCAGUGGGGAAUAUUGGACAAUGGGCGCAAGCCUGAUCCAGCCAUGCCGCGUGAGUGAUGAAGGCCUUAGGGUUGUAAAGCUCUUUCACCGAUGAAGAUAAUGACUGUAGCCGGAGAAGAAGCCCCGGCUAACUUCGUGCCAGCCGCCGCAGUAAUAC
rnacentral:rRNA from 1 species